rnacentral:rRNA from 1 species
AAAUAUAUGCUCUUUUCUAAGACUAAGCCAUGCACGUGUCAGUUCAUACAUUUAAACUGUGAGACUGCGGACGCUCAGUAUAUCAGUUAUUAUCUAUUUGAUUGUACAGCCCAAUGGAUAACCGUGGGAAAUCUAGAGCUAAUACAUGCACACAUAUUUGUGAAGCGUUAAAACCUUCACAAGGCAUUUAUUAGACAAAUACCAACAGUGGCUGAUGAUGGCCUCCGGUCCGUCAGUUACGAGUGAAUCUAGAUAACUUGCCGAUCGCAUGGCCUUGGGCCGGCGACGCUUCAAUUGAAUUUCUGCCCUAUCAACUUGUUGGUAAGGUAUUGGCCUUACCAUGGUUCCGACGGGUAACGGGGGAUCAGGGUUCGAUUCCGGAGAGGGAGCCUGAGAAAUNGCUACCACAUCCAAGGACGGCAGCAGGCGCGCAAAUUNCCCAAUCCAGACAAUGGGAGGUGGUAACGAGAAAUACUAGUCAGUUUCCCAAAAGGAAGCUGAUCUGGAAUGGACGCAAUUUAAGCAAUUCGAUGAGUAACAACUGAGGGCAAGCCUGGUGCCAGCAGCCGCGGUAAUUCCAGCUCCAGUAGUGUAUUUUANCGUUGCUGCGUUUAAAACGCUCGUAGUUGGAUNNNNNNNNNNNNNNNNNNNNNNNNNNNNNNNNNNNNAAGCACAGGUCCUGCAGAUUCACUGUGCGGUGUAGUGAUAAUGUGAUCACACUACUGUACGUGAGGAUGCGGUUGGACCUUGAUGAGUUGACUGUCGUGUCUCACGGAGUGUGCCUUGAAUAAAUCAUAGUGCUCAAAGCAGGCUUACGCUUGAAUGUUAAUAGCAUGGAACGAACAAUUGUGGAUAACGUGUGCUGCAUUACUGUAUUGAUGGAUUCGUUUGUCUUUAUAACUAAUGCAGUUCAUAACACCAACCACCAAUAACGGAUGUUGGUUUCCGUAUUGGGGUGAUGAUUAAAAGGAGCGAUUGGGGGCAUUGGUAUUUGGCCGCGAGAGGUGAAAUUCUUGGACCGGCCAAGGACUAACAAAUGCGAAGGCAUUUGCCAAGAUCGUUUCCAUUAAUCAAGAACCACAGUCCGAGGUUCGAAGCGAUCAGAUACCGACUUAGUUCGGACCGUAAACUAUGCCAGCCCGAGAUCAGUUUUGAGCUAAUUANACGCUCGAGGUUGCUCUCCCUGGGAAACCUCAAGUUUUUAGGUUACGGGGGGAGUAUGGUUGCAAAGCUGAAACCUUAAAGGAAUUGACGGAAGGGCACCACCAGGGGUGGACGUGCGGCUUAAUUUGACUCAACACGGGAAAACUCACCUGGUCCGGACAUCGAAAGGAUAUACAGACUGAUAGAUCUUUAUUGAUACGAUGGUUGGUGGUGCAUGGCCGUUCCUUAGUUCGUGGAGUGAUCUGUCAGGUUUAUUCCGGUAACGAGCGAGAUCAUAGUUUUCAUUUGAGGAAUGCAAAACUCGGACAAAAUUCCGUAUAACGUAUUGAGUCUGUAGCUGGCAGUGGUAACCGUAAGUAAAUGUUUGGUUGAAUUGUUUGUAAAAGUAGUGUGGUCAAGCGCACUAUUGGACCAACCGUUUGCCAAAUGUUGUGAACCCCUCACUCCUUUGCAAUAAACGAUGCAUGGGCAACUAUGCAUUGUCUCAUGGAAAGACAACGGGGUAUAAUUCAAAGCCCGAGUAGGUAUGGCUAUAACAGGUCUGUGAUGCCCUAAGAUGUCUAGGGCCGCACGCGCGCUACAAUGAUAACGUCAGCGAGUAUCUGGGUUGUAAAACUUGGGUAAUCUUGUCAAUCGUUAUCGUGAUGGGGAUUGAUCGUUGUAAUUGUCGGUCAUGAAAGAGGAAUCCCUAGUAUGUGCACUUCAUUAAAGUGUAUAGAUUAAGUCCCUGCCCUUUGUA